rnacentral:rRNA from 1 species
GCGGGAACUUCACUCCAACCCCUGUGACAUACCACUUGUUGCCUCGGCGGAUCAGCCCGCUCCCGGUAAAACGGGACGGCCCGCCAGAGGACCCCUAAACUCUGUUUCUAUAUGUAACUUCUGAGUAAAACCAUAAAUAAAUCAAAACUUUCAACAACGGAUCUCUUGGUUCUGGCAUCGAUGAAGAACGCAGCAAAAUGCGAUAAGUAAUGUGAAUUGCAGAAUUCAGUGAAUCAUCGAAUCUUUGAACGCACAUUGCGCCCGCCAGUAUUCUGGCGGGCAUGCCUGUUCGAGCGUCAUUUCAACCCUCAAGCACAGCUUGGUGUUGGGACUCGCGUUAAUUCGCGUUCCCCAAAUUGAUUGGCGGUCACGUCGAGCUUCCAUAGCGUAGUAGUAAAACCCUCGUUACUGGUAAUCGUCGCGGCCACGCCGUUAAACCCCAACUUCUGAAUGUUGACCUCGGAUCAGGUAGGAAUACCCGCUGAACUUAAGCAUAUCUA